CCUACGGGAGGCUGCAGUGGGGAAUAUUGCACAAUGGGGGAAACCCUGAUGCAGCGACGCCGCGUGAGCGAAGAAGUAUUUCGGUAUGUAAAGCUCUAUCAGCAGGGAAGAAAAUGACUGUACCUGACUAAGAAGCUCCGGCUAAAUACGUGCCAGCAGCCGCGGUAAUACGUAUGGAGCAAGCGUUAUCCGGAUUUACUGGGUGUAAAGGGAGCGUAGGCGGUAAGGCAAGUCUGAUGUGAAAGGCCAGGGCUCAACCCUGGGACUGCAGUGGAAACUGUUUAACUGGAGUGUCGGAGAGGCAAGUGGAAUGCCUAGUGUAGCGGUGAAAUGCGUAGAUAUUAGGAGGAACACCAGUGGCGAAGGCGGCCUGCUGGACCGCGACUGACGUUGAGGCUCGAAAGCGUGGGGAGCGAACAGGAUUAGAUACCCGAGUAGUC
rnacentral:rRNA from 1 species